GGCACAUAGUAAGCAGUCAAGAAUAUUUGUGGUUCUACUGACUGAAGUGAUCCUAACUUGUGACUCAUGCAUGGCACGUCUAUAAGUCAAGCUGGAAUCCUGUAAAAUAUCACCCGGGAAAAAAUUCUGAUCUUAUUCUAGAUGAAGAAUGAAAAGCCAGGAAACUACAUAACCCAAGAAGUAUGGCCUUUGAAGAGAAUGACAGUCAGAAAAGGGAUUAAGUGGCACAUUUCUUUCAGACGACUGAUGCUCCUGCAGCAGAAAUACAGGCACCAAAGGACACAGCUGAGAAUAAUGAAGCUCUUACAUUAAAUCAAAAGGCUUAUGAUUUCAUCUCAACAAUGCAGAUUCAGCAACUGAAACCUUGAAAGCAUCUAUAUGGAAUACAAAUGCGUAAAAGCAGAGAUGGAAAAUGUCCUGAAUCUCUUCAGAAUGC